GUGUUUCUAUCCAAAAAUCUUUCUUCAGAAUGGAGGAGAUGAUGCGUGGGGCAGAGAGGAUGGAGGGAGUUAGCUGUAUUGGGAGAUAAGAUAAACAAGUUUACUGGUAUGAUAGAAGACUUCAUAUGGUCUCCGAAGGCUGGUGAUUCCCAUGACCAACAAGAUGACUGGGCAUUUGAAGAGAUUUGUUGAUUGACCUUCAUAAAUUGCUCACAAUUUUCUAUCUCAAGAUUUCCUCUUUGAAAAGAAGAAAACUACAGGGAUUGGAGAUUGAUUAUGUCAGAGAUGAUGAUGGAUGGAUUGAAUCGGAGGGUCAACUCGGUUCAUCACAGUUAUGAAACAGUAAUUUUAUUUCACUUUUUAAUUUUAACUUUUAAAAAAUAUUUUCACACAUUUAUGCACUGAAAAGAUUGACCUUUAUUGUGCUAUUUUAGUUUAGUUUUGAGUAGUUAUUUGAUCUUUAGAAAUUUGGUUAAUGAUGCUAGGGAUGGUAUAACCAUGAAGAUAAAAGCUAAAGUUUCUAAAUUUCGUCAAUGAUUGGUUGUCACUCAAGUGACUGACUCAUGAAUAUAUGUUAUAUUUAAUGUUUUGUUGCUGUAUUGUUUUACUAGGCCAUUAUGUGUGAGUUGUUGGAGUAGUAUUAUUAUAUUUACACCAUACAAUAUUGUUAGGCAUCUAUUUUUCAAAUGUAACUCAUUUGAAGUUCUUCAUAGUUGCUGGCUGUAGAAAUCAGUUUGUAUAAAAAUAAAAUUGAGAUCAAACAACAUUAAGGAAUUGUGACUUAAUUACAUGUAAAAGCAACAUAUUGCUCUAUCCAUUAUCUCACGAAUUUAAUCAAUUUAUUACUUAUAGUUGAAACCUCAAAUAAUGUUUUUUGUUAUUUUUCGAAGGUGUUUCCCCUUUCAAAAUUG